GCAGAAUCAAUGUUAGAAAACUUGAGAAAGUUUUCCAGUAAAGUCUGCAGGUGCUGAGUUUAUGCUAAAAUUUACAGCUUUGUAACUUCUGAGUACUUUCCAGCUGUGGUGGGUUGUUUAUGAUUUUUUUUUUUUUUUAACAGACUGUUUGCUUUUCAUUCUUAAGGGUGUCACAGAAACUAACAUUAGUUUAUCUGAAUUGACAGGUGCAAGAGCUUUUAACAGUUAAUGUGUAGUUGAACUUGUGGGGGAGGGGAAGCAACAGAAACUUGGCUUUUAUCAUGUAUCUGUUAACUUUGAUAGACCAUAUUGUUUCAUUUGGCAGAAAUUCCUUUGAUUAAAUGAAGGGAUUCUAACAGGUUAGAAUUUCACUGUGUUUCACUCUGAGCUGCUCACAAACCAUUGUUCUUUGAGUAGUUACUUAAUAAUCUUUUCUCCCCUUAU
rnacentral:lncRNA from 1 species